UACGGCCACAUAAUGUUGAAACACCAAUUCUCGUUGGAUCACUGAAGUUAAGCAACGUCGAGUCUGGUCAGUACCUUGAGCGAUGACUGCUUGGGAAUAUAAGGAGUUGUAUG